AUUGAACGCUGGCGGCAUGCCUUACACAUGCAAGUCGAACGGCAGCACGGGGCAACCUGGUGGCGAGUGGCGAACGGGUGAGUAAUGCAUCGGAACGUGCCAUUGAGUGGGGGAUAACGUAGCGAAAGUUGCGCUAAUACCGCAUAUUCUGUGAGCAGGAAAGCAGGGGACCGCAAGGCCUUGCGCUCUUUGAGCGGCCGAUGUCAGAUUAGCUAGUUGGUGAGGUAACGGCUUACCAAGGCGACGAUCUGUAGCGGGUCUGAGAGGAUGAUCCGCCACACUGGAACUGAGACACGGUCCAGACUCCUACGGGAGGCAGCAGUGGGGAAUUUUGGACAAUGGGCGCAAGCCUGAUCCAGCCAUGCCGCGUGAGUGAAGAAGGCCUCGGUGUUAAGACGUCUUUCGGUCCCGGGUAAGG
rnacentral:rRNA from 1 species